UGUUUAUUUUUAAUUGAAUUUGCUUUGUAGUCUUGAAAAUAGGAUGUUUUUUAAGAAAGCAUGUCCAUUUCACAAUGCUUUGUGAAUUUUGUGAAUUUUCUUUCUUGGUGUCCCUAGGGUCAUGGGACUGAAUUACAGUGGCUGAGCAGGACUGCUCCUGUCUAAACUACAGCGAUAAGAUAACGCCCGAACGUCACUCACUUCAGUCCAAGCAGAAAUGCACAUCCAGUUCCCCAGUGUAAAUCCACUCCACAAACCACAGCCCUUCUUUCACGUGUUCUGAAAUGUUUCUGCCAAUUCCAUUCUUGUUCGGCAGGUGUCUGAGAGGAUAGAAAGGACAUGCUGACUAACAUCGCAGAGACUUUAAUUUCAGUGUCCUUUCCUCUUGCUCUCAGACUCUGCACCUGUCCUGUCUUUGCGCACCUUCUCCCGCACAAACCAAGAUUAUGUGAUAGCCGACACGGCGGUGAAAGAAAGGAAGAACUAGAAACAUCCCGUUUUCUUUCCUCAGUCUCAUGUGAGCUCAGGGGGCGUGAUUUGUCCCAAAGUGGAGUUUUAUUUUAAGGCUUCUCAAUGGGAGCUUGGUGAAUGGGCAGUUUUUAGCACGCUAGUUGCGGCUGGCUUUGUUCCUUUGGUUAGAGCCCUGUGCUCAUGUUGAUAUGUUGGCACUGCGGUUUGCCCAACCCAGACAAGCCACACAGGGAUCACUGAGACACGCGGAGGAGAAGACAACCAGACCAGUGAGUGCACGGAAGUGGGCGUCUGCUGUAUAUGCUGCUUCCUGUUCCUCUCUGCAUGCCUUGUUUGUGCCAGAGAACUUCUGGGAUAAAGGAAGUUCUGUGCUGACAUGCUGAGCCAGUGGAAAAUCGCAGUGUAGGAACCGAAGUGACCAGAGGAAGCAAUGAGCCAGUGUGUUCGGACUGAUAGCAGGUCUGCAUUGGCUGGCAUGAGCUCACCAGUACGUUAGCGUCAUGUUCCGCCCUUUUGCUUGUUCAACAUUGAUCCGGGGUCAUGUGACCAACACAUCAACAUGGCUCAUCGAUUAACAUCAAUUAAAGAGAAGAGGUUUUGUCUAAUGUUGUUCAGUUUGCCUGACCUUUGAAUAUGCAUUUUUUCACUGAAUGCUUUAUAACCCACCUCAAAUUGUUCCUUGAACAAAUAGCCAUAUCUCGAAUCUUGAUAAGACAACAGGGCCACAAACUUUGCCCUCCUAACUUAGUAAGACACUACAAGUAGUACUGAAAAUGGAAACACUUUCAAUAUCGUUUAAUGCCAUUAAUAGAACAUAGGAAAUAUAGGUUUACAGUGAUCUUUUACCUAGAAAAAUGUGUAUUUGUAGACAAUAUUUGAACAAGCUACGCAUGUUAAAUCCAGUUCAGACUAAGUGAGCAGGCAUGACACCUGCUAUGUCCUAACCCAGCACUACAGCAUGUGCUAGUGAUGAAUGGGACGGGUGAACCGCAGAAAUGUCCAAGCAUGCUUACAGCAUGAAUACAGCUCUGCUCUUUGGUUCGUUCACAUCACCUGUUAAAGCUGGCCACACACGUUGAGAAAUCGGUUUGACUUUAACUGUUUGUCACUUAACCAGAUCAUAAGGUCUAUGGACUUUGCCUUAAAUUACUGGAAAAAAAGAUGAAGACCAAAGGUUACACAGGGUACUGAGCAUAACACCCUACCACUGCUCCCAAGACACAGAUUUGAGCUUGCAUCAAAAAUGCGCAGAAACAAAUGCAUCUGUUACAAUUGGC